UGACCCUCGGCUACCCGUUCCUGCCCCACUAGCGUGGCCGCGAGCCUCGGUGAGCCGGCCGUAUUCCCGCUCUCGCUUAGGGGGCACAGGCGCAGGAAGCGGCCCGGCCACUCCAAGCCUUCGGUGCGCGGGCGCGUCUGGGAUACGGGCCCGGGAGGCGCCGCCCUCCGUCCGCCCGGUGCCUCUCAGGAACAGCGAACCGGAGAGAGCGCCGGAGAGUUGGGCUCCGUGCAGAGCUCGGCGCCGGGGCCCAUGCCCGUGCGCCCCCGCAGGCCGGCGCCAUGGCCUCCGGGAGCGUGGCCGAGUGCCUGCAGCAGGAGACCACCUGCCCCGUGUGCCUGCAGUACUUCGCAGAGCCCAUGAUGCUCGACUGCGGCCAUAACAUCUGUUGCGCGUGCCUCGCCCGCUGCUGGGGCACGGCAGAGACUAACGUGUCGUGCCCGCAGUGCCGGGAGACCUUCCCGCAGAGGCACAUGCGGCCCAACCGGCAUCUGGCCAACGUGACCCAACUGGUGAAGCAGCUGCGCACCGAGCGGCCGUCGGGGCCCGGCGGCGAGAUGGGCGUGUGCGAGAAGCACCGCGAGCCCCUGAAGCUGUACUGCGAGGAGGACCAGAUGCCCAUCUGCGUGGUGUGCGACCGCUCCCGCGAGCACCGCGGGCACAGCGUGCUGCCGCUCGAGGAGGCGGUGGAGGGCUUCAAGGAGCAAAUCCAGAACCAGCUCGACCAUUUAAAAAGAGUGAAAGAUUUAAAGAAGAGACGUCGGGCCCAGGGGGAACAGGCACGAGCUGAGCUCUUGAGCCUAACGCAGAUGGAGAGGGAGAAGAUUGUUUGGGAGUUUGAGCAGCUGUAUCACUCCUUAAAGGAGCAUGAGUAUCGCCUCCUGGCCCGCCUUGAGGAGCUAGACUUGGCCAUCUACAAUAGCAUCAAUGGUGCCAUCACCCAGUUCUCUUGCAACAUCUCCCACCUCAGCAGCCUGAUCGCUCAGCUAGAAGAGAAGCAGCAGCAGCCCACCAGGGAGCUCCUGCAGGACAUUGGGGACACAUUGAGCAGGGCUGAAAGAAUCAGGAUUCCUGAACCUUGGAUCACACCUCCAGAUUUGCAAGAGAAAAUCCACAUUUUUGCCCAAAAAUGUCUAUUCUUGACGGAGAGUCUAAAGCAGUUCACAGAAAAAAUGCAGUCAGAUAUGGAGAAAAUCCAAGGUAAAUUUAUCUACCUACUGGGCUUUUGAUGUAAAGUUGCUUGGAAAAAAGAACAUCUGCACUGAAAGUGGGAAACAUGGGAUAAGGGUGAUACCCAUUGGCCAGCCUUCCCUGAUAUUUUACAUCUUCCCUUUGGUCUUAAUUAAUUUUCUCAAUUAACAGCCUCUUGUUCUAAUUUGAAGUCUGUUAACUGUAUUUAGUCAAUUCGCAAUCUGCAUUGAUGGAGGAGAAAAAUAAGCAAUCCAAAAAUUAAUCAAUCCAGAAUUAAUUUGAUUGUUUACUUCGGAAAGAAUGAACAAAAACUACCUUGGAUACAUUUCACUUGAGAGUGUUUAUCAUUGUAAUUUACUGAGUUCCUACUGCUUGUGGGCACAGGUGCCAGCUCGGGCUGGAGGAAUCGAGCAGCGCUGACAGGCAGCACCGCCAGGGACAUGGUUAGGAGCAGGCAGUCAGGAGUCAGGCUGCCUGGGUUCUGGGCCUGCCUCUACCACUUAGUAAGGAUUCAAUAAGCAAUUUCCUCAUCUGUAACAACAGUAAUAGUUCUUACCUCCUAAGGUAUAAGAAUUAAGGUUAGUUACCAUUUCUAACACUUCUAGAAUAGAACCUGACACAUAGUAAGUCCUAUAUUCAUGUUUAUUAAAUCGUUCUAGGCAUUUGGAGAAGCUUUUCCAAAUUAAAAUUUUUCUGCUCACGAGCCACAUUCAGUAAAGAGUUGGCCAUAUAUUAUUCCACCCAGGAAUACUAAAAUUCCUGGGCAGUCUGGUGGAUUCUGAAAUCCUUAUAUGUAGGUAAUCCCUUCUCUUAAUUAUUAGAAAUUAGAAACCCCCACAAUCUUUGAUAAUUUUCUAUUUUGUAUAUGCUGGGUUCUUAUUUGCAUUGCAUCUAUUCAGAUAUAUACUUUUUGGGGCAUCUAGCAACAUAGAUCUAGCAGAUACAUGUCCUCUACAAGCAAGACAAAUGGGGAGAAACUCCACUCAAUACAGUGGAUAAUACCAGAAGUGGUUAGUUCAGGCAUGACUUUCCUUGAUCUGGCUCUUUUCUUGCCACUUAAAAGGCUUAGUGGGAUAAUGUGUGAAAAAUUCUGUUUCAACUAUAAAGUGCCUUAUAAAUGAAUGGUUAUGUUUACCCCAGAGUGUCAGUGAGUGUCACUUGAGCCAUUCAGCUCUUGUACACAGAUGACUUAUGCAACUCAAAAGUUAUGUGUGAUGUGGGGUUGGAACCGCGUUUCCCUCUGCAGAAUCAGCUGACUCAAUGGAAGGUGGAAUUCUUGAUCUUGGCUCAGUUUGAUCCCAUAUUCUACCAGUCUCAGGCAUGUGGUUAUCCCUGUACUUAAGAUUCCCAGUCCAUCUCCCCCUAAAGCUUUUGGUUGAACGAUAGAGCCAUACAUCAUAUGAAAAAAUCAGUGCAUGACUGACAACAGAGGUUCUGGGGUUUCUAGUGGAGACCACUGCUUUAUGAUGACUAACCAAAGCCCCCUCAGUUAUGUAUUUCCUGGAAACCCUCAUGACUUCCAUAACUUUUCUCUUUUAUUCUUUCAGAAUUAAGAGAGGCUCAGUUAUACUCAGGUAGGUGAUGAGAGACAAAACCAUAUUAGGGUAAGGAGUAAAAAUCCUUGUGAACCUAACUACCGUUAUGAGUGAUUUGGAAAUUGCUUAGAUUUGGAUUCUUUAGGUUACAUGUAUAAAGAUGAUACACAACAAGCACAAAAAUCCUCAGUUGUUUCUAUGUGUUAACAGUAUCUUUGCCUCCUGAAAUGCCUCAGAGCUGAAGCCAUAGGGUAAAAUCAAUCUCAGGUGUUAAAGAAGGAUUAUAGGGUGGAAACCGCAGUUCCCAAAAGUAGAACAGAGCUGGUACACUAGUACACUGCUCUGCCUGCCCAGCUUCAGGGUCAAACCAUGGUUUGUGACAAGCAGGACUGAUUGAGCUCCACUAUUACUCUUGAGUGCUAGAGGAAGUCUAGGAGUCUUGUGUCAUCCCAUCACUGUGCCUCAGAGCAAAGUUUGAAACUCCCCUUCCCCCUCACAACCACUUUCACCCUACUGUAGAGCCUGGGUAAAUUUAACAUUGCAGAAGUACUCAAAUCUAAGGUGUAUUCGUCCCACAGUCACAGUCACCUUCUGUUAUGAAGUGUCCUCUAAAUGAAGAGAAGGACUCUACAUACAGUGGAUCUGCAGUCCUUGGUGUGCAGUGGCUCUGAUCCAUAUUUAAUUUCAACAAGUAUUAAAUGAGUACUUUGCUUGUAUCCUACACUGCCUAACAUUGUGAAGGGUAUUUUAGAGGAGCAGAAGAGCAUAAGUCAUCCUACUCUUAUGGGUUUACAUUGUCUGGUUGGAGGUAUACCCAUGACACAAGAAGAAGGUAGGCAGCUGUUGUAGACAGAUUGUUGAACCAGGAACCAAGGGUUCUGGGGUUCUUGGUUACCUCUACCAGUUGCCUUUCUUUUGUGGGAGUAAAAAUUUGUGGGCUUAAAUUUCUGAGAGGUAAUGUUUGGGACUCUUCCUCCUGAACAAAAUGUGAGGAGCAAAUGAGAGAAUACGUAUCAGUAUUUUUAUUUGUUUAUUUAUUAUUUUAAUUUUUUAAAUUUUUUAUUAUUCAUUUUAGAGGCAGGUUCUCUGUUGCCCAGACUGGUGUGCAGUGGCAUGGUGAUAGCUUGCUGCAGCCUCAUACUCCUGGGCUCAAGUGAUCCUCCUGCCUCAGCCAGCCUCCUGAGUAGCUGGAAUUACAGGCAUGCACCACCAUGCUUGCCUAAUUUUUUUGCUUUUAUUUUUUGUAGAGACAGGGUCUCAAACUCCUGUAUGCAAGCAAUCCUCUUGCCUCAGCUUCCCAAAGUGCUGAGAUUACAGGCAUGAGCCACAUACCCAGCCCAUUAUCAGUGUUUUUGAAGCAGGAAAACACUUGAUGAUAGCAAGAUGCUGUAAUACUAAAUGCCAGAGGAGAUGACAUGGGUCAUACAGAGUUUUAGAUUUCAGAACAGGAAGAGUGUAAUGGCCUGGGCAGGUAAAGAAAAACUUGGAGGAUGUGUGUCUUGGACUGGACAUUAGAAGAAGAUGAAUAGAGCUUUGAUGUGCAGAGUGAAGAUCUUACAGAAUGGAUAAAAGAGUGAUUUGGGCUGGGCGUAGUGGCUCACACCUGUAGUCCUAACACUUUGGAAGGCUGAAAUGGGAAGUCUGCUUGAGCCAGGGAGAUGAAGUCUGCAGUGAGCCAUGAUUAUGCCACUGUACUACAGUCUGGGUGACAGAGUGAGACCUCAUCUCAAAAAAUAAAAAAAAAGUAAAAAAUAAUUUUAAAAGAGUGAUUUAAAAAGUAAGCAUACUGAUACAGGUUCCCAGUCCCUUACCCACAGUUCUAAAAUCCCAAAUCUCUGAAAGCCAAAACCUUUUUCAUUAUUUUGUGGGAAAUUAAUUAUAGCAUCAAAACCUGAAUUUAUGUGGUACUGUUUAGAGUCUUUAUCCUUCAUUAUGUAAACAUUCAUAGAUCUCACAGCAGAUCUAUUAAUACUUCAUUAUAGAAUGCUGCACCAGACCCUGCGUGUCUAAAACCUGUAAUAUUCUGAAUUCUGUGAAACUUGGGGCCCCUGGAGUUUUCAGAAUAAGGGAUGAUGAGCGUGUAAGAAAACCUCAAUUCAGCGUAUCUGCCAGGCACAGUGGCUCAUGCCUGAAAUCCCAUUGCUUUGGGAAGUUGAGGUGGGAGGAUUGCUUGAGGCCAAGAGUUCGAGACCAUCCUGGGCAACAUAGUAAGACCUCAUCUCUACAAAAAAUUUUUAAAAAUUAGCCAGGGUGGUAGUGCACACCUAUGGUCCCAGCUAGUUGGGAGUCUUAGGCGGGAGAAUCACCUGAGCCCAGGAGUUUGGGGUUACAAUGAACUAUGACCAUACCACUGUGCUCCAGCCGAGGCAACAGAGCAAGACCCUAUCUCUUAAAAUCAGUUCAUAAUGGAUAUUGUGGCUUCAGAUGUGAAAGAAAAGAUACGGGGCUAAAAUUCUGUAUUUUCAGUGUAUUCUGGUAACCAGCUAAUCCAAGCAGUAAUUUUUGAAAUGUGAAGUUUAGAAUAUAUUCUAAAUAAAAUACGUGCAACCUCCAGUGGGAACCUCUUAUUCUUGGGGAGGUAGUAGAAAGGCGCUGGGUGUUCUAAAAUAGGCUCUCUUUGUGUCUCUGCAGUGGACGUGACUCUGGACCCAGACACGGCCUACCCCAGCCUGAUCCUCUCUGAUAAUCUGCGGCAAGUGCGGUACAGUUACCUCCAACAGGACCUGCCUGACAACCCCGAGAGGUUCAAUCUGUUUCCCUGUGUCUUGGGCUCUCCGUGCUUCAUCGCUGGGAGACAUUAUUGGGAGGUAGAGGUGGGAGAUAAAGCCAAGUGGACCAUAGGUGUCUGUGAAGACUCAGUGUGCAGAAAAGGUGGAGUAACCUCAGCCCCCCAGAAUGGAUUCUGGGCAGUGUCUUUGUGGUAUGGGAAAGAAUAUUGGGCUCUUACCUCCCCAAUGACUGCCCUCCCCCUGCGGACCCCGCUCCAGCGGGUGGGGAUUUUCUUGGACUAUGAUGCUGGUGAGGUCUCCUUCUACAACGUGACAGAGAGGUGUCACACCUUCACUUUCUCUCAUGCUACCUUUUGUGGGCCUGUCCGGCCCUACUUCAGUCUGAGUUACUCGGGAGGGAAAAGCGCAGCUCCUCUGAUCAUCUGUCCCAUGAGUGGGAUAGAUGGGUUUUCUGGCCAUGUUGGGAAUCAUGGUCAUUCCAUGGAGACCUCCCCUUGAGGAGGUGAAUUCAGGCCAAAAGGGCUGUUGGCUGUAAUCCUAUGCCAGGCACAAGGCAUCUUGUUGCCUUGCCACGUCCUGUCACAGCUGGGUAUCCUUACCAUGUUCCACGCCCUUGCAGUGGGAGACAGGAUGUCCAUGUUCUCUACCAUCCUUUUCCUUCCCGUGCAGAUUGUGAAAUGUAAUGAGAUGUAUCAAGAUAUCCUAGAAAUAAAAACCAGAUGUUCACCUCCAGUGUUUCACACUUUCUGGUUUUACACAUUGCUGGAGGGAUAAAGAGUAUGGAUAAUCUUUGGAUUUGGAGAGCCAUUCAAGAUACUUCCAGCUUCUUGGCUCAGCCUGGCUUCCUCUGGUUCAGCCCCACAUAAUGAUUAUGGCUAUUUGCUGUCAUUUUUGGGCUAGGGCUCCUUUCUAACAACCUAGACUGGAACAAGGCCCUGUCAGCAUGGCUCCCUUUAUCCCAGUUUUUCCGACUGGGAACAGUACCUCUGCCCCUGAUUCCCAAUGUGCCAUAGUUUUAUUAACUCCAUUAAAGAAGCCUGUAUGUGUUUUGGUUAGUUACAGUUAUUUUACAAUAAUGGUGGGUAAUGGCCCCACCUCUGUUAUGAGAUAAUGUUCUAAUCAAUGUCUCUGCCUUUGUAUCUUUUCUGAGGGCUUUGUCUGCUCUCUUCAUUCUAAUGAAAGGUGUAUUCUAGUGCUGGGUGCGUAUCAUCCAGGAUAAUAUUCUGCCCAAUUCCAUCCUCUGUUACUAGAUCCCUUACCAGUCACAUUUGUGAACAGGUGGCCAGUCGUAUACCAUCCCUGGAAGGAUUCUGGGACAAUAUUCCAGGGAUUCAUUGGCUUCUUGGCUCCUUUUCUCCAUUUCCUUUGGGGGAAGAGGGAAUUGACCAUUCUUAAGUGCAUACUAUCAAGGGGCAGCUCCAUCCCCAUGGCCAUUGGAUCAUGAGACACUCUGAAGUCAGAAGGCUGGGGCAGAUCACUUCGAGCAAGCCCCCGUGAUGGUUCUCAGUCCUGCUUCUCUUUGGGUACAUGCCCCUCUGUUUAAAAAUAAAGUGAAUAUGGAUAUUUA
rnacentral:sRNA from 1 species